AGAAAGAGGUGGCGGAAUUUCGGAGGAUGCGCUCGUGCUUCUUCACCUCGCUCGGUUCCUCCGCGGUGAUCCGUCGAGAAAAAGAGAAAGAGAGUGACUAAAGAGCCUCCAAACACGCUCCGGUAAACGCGCAGUGGUCGCUGACGAGCUAUGGUCAGACGAAGGCGCGGCGCGCGGAUCUUUCGCGGGAAAUCGCCGUAGAAAUAAUAUUUACGCUUGCUGAGCAGCGCUGUAAAACGAAUUCCAUCGUCGUCAUCGUGCCGAUCGCCAUAAUACAUCGUCGUUUCACCCCAAGUGCAUCGAAAUAGACACCGAUUGCGCGCGAAAGGCGCAUAUGUGGAAAGGCAACACCCUAGCAUUUUGCCGAUCCGUGGCAUUUCUCUUAUUCGUACGAUUUCAACGGUUCAACGUAGUGCAAUAGAUAGAAAUGCAGUUUUCUCGCGGAGAAAUUGGACCUCUUCCAGUCCUGGUUAAUGACAGAAAGAGAUGCGCGGAGGACGAUGAUUCUACGGCCGAUGUGUAGUACGCGAUGGUCCAGAUGACGUCGAUGUUGGCCGCGGAUCCGAUGUUCUAACAGCGCGCACUUCUAUAGUCAGAAAUCGUAGGUAUGCGCGAUGAAGACGAUGGCGAGUAGAAGAGACGAGGGGAAGUUCUCGAAACACGCGUGUACGCAUACGCACACGCUCGGCGGAGACCCGAAGCACGAGAAGUGCGAGCAGGAGAGAC